GAAUGGGGCGGCAACGCCCGCCUCUCUCGCUGCCCCUCCCCAGCAAAUCCAGCGCCCUGCACCGGGCCAAACGGAUCCGCAAGCCGCGCUGCUGCAGCGCCGGCUGAGUGACACGCACCGCGCCCGCGUGUCCGGGCCUCGCUCUCCUCCCUCGUGAGCCGCGAUGUGAUGCAAGCAGAGCAGGGCACACGAACAUAUUUCACAACCUGCCUGCCAUGGAGGCAGAGCGGGAAGGCGGGCAAGGCGUGGGGCUGCUGCUCCGAGGCACAGGCUCUGCACCGGCCUCCCUCGCAAUGGCUGAGGUCACCGUGACUGGAAAGAAGAGUGGACUAUCCAGGCCCAGCUGGAGGACUGGGCCUCUUAGGAGUGGAAGUGGAGUGGGAAAAAUACCUGGCCAUCCCCGCAGACCAGGGAGGGCACUGAGCCCUGCCCCACAGACAACGUGGGGAAGGAACUCUGCGUUUUGCUAUAGGCAAGCAAGACAUGGACACUAAGGAAACAGGACAUUAGGAGGCUUUCUGAUUUCACUUGGCUGGAGGACUGAGCCACUGAAGAUUUGCCUAAUGAGGCUGACAACCUAGAGGGGUGUCAGGAGAAAAAAAGACUGCAGCACCAGACCCACCCAGCAGGAGGCACUCACAAAGAGCUGAAUGUCACGUCUAGGGCCUUACCAAGUCGAAAUGCUACAGGCACUUGCUGAGCAUUAGCCAUACCUUUUACAUGACUAACAAAUAGGUAAUCACCUGAAUUUACAGCAUAACUGGAGUGAUAGCCAAUAUCACCAAAAGAAAGAAAACUUGAGUUUGUGGGAUAUGUGGGCUGGAUGAGCAGAGGAAGGUUGCUGAAGCUAGUUUUGUAGGGACUGGGGCCAGGAGCCAGCAGCAGGGUGUUCCCACAACAAGUGUGGUUUGAUAAUGUGGCUGACUGGAUGGGAUGUGGCAUGGCACACAACUCAAGGCUGUGCAAAGAUUGCAAGACAUGGAGGAAGAUUGCUGGGCAAUGACUCCCAUGUGUUGUGGUUACUGUUCAUGGUGCUGUGACCUUAUGGUGCUUUGCACUAAGAGAAUAACAACAGUCAAAAAUGACCAGUCAUAGUCUUUAUUUGACCAAGAGUGCCUGAUGACUGUCGGGAAAGUUGUUGACUGGGUUUUCAGUAUGCCCCUGGGUAGACCGUCUGUGUCACCAUUGCAAAUGAGUGGCUCAUGCUUCCCACAAGAUUCCUUUCUCUACCACAGACUCUAGUUUUGUAUGUAGACUCAUCACCCCAGAUUUUAAAGUCAGAAAGAUAGAAAUCAGACCUGUGAUCCAUCUAGGCUGGUACCCUGUCUCCAACAGUGGCUUGUACCUAGUGCUUCGGAGUAAAAUCCAUUUUAGACAAUUAUGGAAUAGUCUGCACAAAGAAGAAAUUUCUUCCUAAACCUCAUCAGUUAGUGGUUGACUUAUGCCUUCAAGCAUAAGGGUUUAUAUCUCUCAAAUAUUUUAUCCUGUCUAAUGUAGUUGAUGUUCUUAUAAUAUAGAUGUCUAAUCUUUUUUUGAAACCUAGUAAGCUUAUGCCUGUUAUAGUAUCUUGUGGCAAUGAGUUCCGCACUCAUUGUUUACAAAUUGUUUUUUAAACCUUUGAAUUAAAUUACACCCAGAAGUGAAUAAGAACCAGUGCAGUCUUUGAUGUAACAAUCUGCCUAAAGCAAGGCCAUUAAGCUGACACGCCACUGCAUUCAGCAUCACCUAAUAAGUGGUGUUCCAGCAUAGCUCCAUGUAGAGUACAUAUCAGUAAUUUAAUCUAGUUGGCCUGAAUGACACAGGCAAGGUCCAUAUAAAAGAGAAUUAGUUAGUCUUUGAGCAGGAAUCAAAUGAAAAAGGAUACUUCUAGCCACUGUUGCCACCCGGGACUGCAGGAUCAAUCAGGGAUCCAGGAAUACCCCUACAAUAUGAAUCUCCCUCUGUGUACUUACACAACACCCACACCAUAGCAUUUGAUAAUCCAGUGUAAAUUAAUUAAUAUUCCAUCCAGUACCCCGUCAGGUAGGGGAGCAUUUUAGGCACAGAGGGUGCUAUUCAAUAAGCUCAGACCAGGGGAAGCCAUGCCUAUGGUGGCUUUGUACCACUCUUGCCCCCUCCUGGGCUGCUUUGGGGGCUGGAGCAUCCCCCAGCAUAGUUUAGUGUGAUUGCAGUUCGGGUAGGCAUACCUGCACUAGCUUUACCCGAGCUAGCAUAGCUACAGAUAGCACUGAAAAUACAGCAGCACGGGUUUCAGCAACAUGAGUAGAUAUCCUGAGACAGCCCUGGUUAUGUCCCUGCCUAUCCAAGAGCACAUCCUGGGAUUGUGCCUCAGUUUCUGUUUCACCCUGUAUAAACUAGC